UACGUAGGUGGCAAGCGUUGUCCGGAAUUACUGGGUGUAAAGGGAGCGCAGGCGGGAAGCCAAGUCAGCUGUGAAAACUACGGGCUUAACUUGUAGACUGCAGUUGAAACUGGCAGUCUUGAGUACAGUAGAGGUGGGCGGAAUUCGUGGUGUAGCGGUGAAAUGCUUAGAUAUCACGCAGAACUCCGAUUGCGAAGGCAGCAUACCGGCGCUCAACUGACGCUCAUGCACGAAAGCGUGGGUAUCGAACAGG
rnacentral:rRNA from 1 species